rnacentral:lncRNA from 1 species
AAUAAAUAUUUGAUGCCAUUUCAAUAUCGUAGUAUUAGACGUGCACUAUAUCUUGCAAGAACACUAAUUACAAAUGCAAUAUCUAGUCUUAUAGAUUUAGCCAAAUAUAAAAGUCCUCCAACCAUUGUCGUAAUACGUGAAGUCUUGCUUGAGAAUGCUCCGAGCACUUGGCUAUGGUAGGAAGAAUGGAAAUUUCAAUAACAAAAUCUUAAUUCUAAUAGAAUACUAAUAAUGCUUUAAUUAGACCAUAAUAAUGCUAAGUAAGCUUAAUCAAAUUCAAAAAACCUUAAAGAAAUUUCAAACAAAAAAUAAGAAUUUUUAAAGAAAUAUUAGAAGGAUCACCAAUAUCACUCAAAUACAUCUCAACUCAAUCUUAAUUUAAUUCUACUUAAAAUCCUAUUGAACUUCAUUCAAACUUUAGGCCAAAAUUAAUUGAAUCUUAAAUCUUAAUAAUAUACUAAAUCUUAAAUAAAACCCUAAAAAAACCUUAAACCAAACCCUAAUCAAAUCCUAAACCAAAUCCUAACCAAAUUCUAAACCAAACUUUAACCCUAAAUCAAACCCUAACCAAACUCUAAUCCAAAUUCUAAAUCCUAAAUCAAAUCCUAACCAAAUCCUAAUCUAAAUUCUAAAUCCUAAAUCAAAUCCUAACCAAAUCCUAAUCAAAUCCUAAACCCUAAAUAAAACCCUAACCAAAUCCUAAAUCCUAAAGAAAAUCCUAACCAAAUCCUAAACCAAACUCUAAAUCCUAAAUAAAUCUUAAAUUCCAAAUCCUAAAUCCUAAAUCAAAUCCUAAUCCAAAUCCUAAAUCCUAAAUAAAUCCUUAAUUCCAAAACCUAA